rnacentral:rRNA from 1 species
UACGAAGGCUGCGAGCGUUAUCCGGAUUUAUUGGGUUUAAAGGGUGCGUAGGCGGUCUUAUAAGUCAGUGGUGAAAUCCUAUCGCUUAACGAUAGACGUGCCAUUGAUACUGUAGGACUUGAGUACAGAUGCCGUUGGCGGAAUGUGUCAUGUAGCGGUGAAAUGCAUAGAUAUGACACAGAACACCGAUUGCGAAGGCAGCUGACGAAGCUGUAACUGACGCUGAGGCUCGAAAGCGUGGGGAUCAAACAGG